rnacentral:rRNA from 2 species
GAUUGAACGCUGGCGGCAGGCCUAACACAUGCAAGUCGAACGGUAACAGGAAGCAGCUUGCUGCUUUGCUGACGAGUGGCGGACGGGUGAGUAAUGUCUGGGAAACUGCCUGAUGGAGGGGGAUAACUACUGGAAACGGUGGCUAAUACCGCAUAAYGUCGCAAGACCAAAGAGGGGGACCUUCGGGCCUCUUGCCAUCAGAUGUGCCCAGAUGGGAUUAGCUUGUUGGUGAGGUAACGGCUCACCAAGGCGACGAUCCCUAGCUGGUCUGAGAGGAUGACCAGCCACACUGGAACUGAGACACGGUCCAGACUCCUACGGGAGGCAGCAGUGGGGAAUAUUGCACAAUGGGCGCAAGCCUGAUGCAGCCAUGCCGCGUGUAUGAAGAAGGCCUUCGGGUUGUAAAGUACUUUCAGCGGGGAGGAAGGUGUUGUGGUUAAUAACCRCAGCAAUUGACGUUACCCGCAGAAGAAGCACCGGCUAACUCC